rnacentral:rRNA from 1 species
AUUGAACGCUGGCGGCAUGCCUUACACAUGCAAGUCGAACGGCAGCAUGGAGAGCUUGCUCUCUGAUGGCGAGUGGCGAACGGGUGAGUAAAGCAUCGGAACGUACCGUGUAGUGGGGGAUAACGUAGCGAAAGUUACGCUAAUACCGCAUACGCACUGAGGUGGAAAGCAGGGGAUCGCAAGACCUUGCGCUAUACGAGCGGCCGAUGUCAGAUUAGCUAGUUGGUAGGGUAAAGGCCUACCAAGGCGACGAUCUGUAGCGGGUCUGAGAGGAUGAUCCGCCACACUGGGACUGAGACACGGCCCAGACUCCUACGGGAGGCAGCAGUGGGGAAUUUUGGACAAUGGGGGCAACCCUGAUCCAGCCAUGCCGCGCGAGUGAAGAAGGCCUUCGGGUUGUAAAGCUCUUUCGGCCGGGAAGAAAUCGCACAGGCUAAUACUCUGUGUGGAUGACGGUACCGGCAUAAGAAGCACCGGCUAACUACGUGCCAGCCGCCGCAGUAA